rnacentral:rRNA from 1 species
GAGCGCUGAUUCCGAGGUAGCAAUAUUUCGGAGUCGGAGCGGCGCAAGGGUGCGUAAUACGUGGGUAAUCUGCCAUGAAGUCUGGGAUAACUUGCUGAAAGGCGAGCUAAUACCGGAUGUGGCCGUUGGAAGGCAUCUUCCGACGGCUGAAGUUGGGGACCGUAAGGCCUGACGCUUCUUGAUGAACCCGCGGCCUAUCAGCUAGUUGGUGAGGUAACGGCCCACCAAGGCUAAGACGGGUAGCUGGUCUGAGAGGACGACCAGCCACACUGGAACUGAGACACGGUCCAGACACCUACGGGUGGCAGCAGUCGAGAAUUUUUCACAAUGGGCGCAAGCCUGAUGGAGCGACGCCGCGUGGGGGAUGAAUGGCUUCGGCCCGUAAACCCCUGUCAUUCGCGAUCAAACCUUGCUAUUUAAAAGAUGGCGAGCUGAUAGUAGCGGAAGAGGAAGGGACGGCUAACUCUGUGCCAGCAGCCGCGGUAAUACAGAGGUCCCGAGCGUUGUUCGGAUUCACUGGGCGUAAAGGGUGCGUAGGUGGUGAGGUAAGUCGGAUGUGAAAUCUCGGAGCUCAGCUCCGAAACUGCAUUGGAAACUACCUUGCUAGAGGAUUGGAGGGGGGACUGGAAUUCUCGGUGUAGCAGUGAAAUGCGUAGAUAUCGAGAGGAACACCAGUGGCGAAGGCGAGUCCCUGGACAACUCCUGACACUGAGGCACGAAAGCUAGGGGAGCAAACAGGAUUAGAUACCCUGGUAGUCCUAGCCGUAAACGGUGCAUGCUUGCUGUAAAAGGAAUCGACCC